rnacentral:tRNA from 1 species
AAGAAAGUGGCAGAGCGGUUAUGUGGUCGGCUUGAAACCGACCUAUGGGGGUUCGACUCCUCCCUUUCUGU